rfam:Schistosoma rodhaini strain Burundi genome assembly, scaffold: SROB_scaffold0004036
CUGCCACUGAUGAGUCCCAUAAUAGGACGAAACGGACGUCCUGUGU